rnacentral:misc_RNA from 1 species
GCGGCAUGGAACGCGCGGGUGUAGAGAUUGGUUGCGGCUCGCGAGGGAAUGGCAAAACCGCCAUUCCCUGCACAGGAGGCACGCUGGAGAGUGUCAGGCCGCCUGGUCAUAGGCUUGUUUCAAGGUCUUGAUGUCGAGCUUGACCAUCUUCAUCAUGGCUUCCAUCACCUUCUGUGAUUGCGAAGGCGUGCCGCUUUUCAUCAUCUCGCCAAGAGCGGUCGGAACGAUCUGCCACGACAGGCCGAAUUUGUCCUUGAGCCAACCGCAU